rnacentral:pre_miRNA from 1 species
CACUUGGAACUUUCCAAAUAAAUCAUCCUUUGGACUGAAAUUUCUCAUGCUUAUUCACGGUCCAGAGAACAAGUUUUUUGAAAGUUCAAUA